rnacentral:lncRNA from 1 species
CCGGAGCUUGCUUUUCAAGAAUUUGAAACGAGCAGGCUCUUGAGGGCCGAGUUGGAUCGGAUGGAGAUUGGAUACAAAUACCCGUUGGCCAAAACAGGUAUCCGGGCAUGGGUCGGGACAGGCGGCCCGCCGUUUGUUGCCCUCCGAGCUGACAUGGAUGCACUUCCGAUUCAGGUUUUUUUUUUUUAAAAAAAAAAUUAGUUUUAUGUUUAGUUCCCGAAGAACAUAUUAGUAUAUUCAUGCAUGUGUCAUAUACAUGUAUGUAUGAGCUUGCAUCAUGCAUGCAUGUAAUUGGAUAUACUGGUGGGUGGAAAUUGAUUUGGGAACGCCUCAAAUUUGGAAAUGUGAAUAUUUUUAAUUUUUGAGAAAUUGUUGAAAUAAUUUCUCUUCUCCUUCUUCUCUUUUUUUUUUUUUUUUGUCCAAAACCUUAAUUCACGUCAUAUUAUUUUCAUUAUUAUUAUUAUUAUUAUUUUGUGUCAGCUUCCUGUUAUUUUAGUUCCAUUUAUUGUGAAUUUGUAUUUUCAACUACUUCCCCGAAUUAACAAAAAUAAAAAUAAAAUUUUUCAUUUGUUCUUAAAUAAAAUUAUUCAUAAUAUUUUUCGAUCCUUUUUUAUUACUGAGACGAUAAUUUCUUAUUUUCAUAAAACUUGUCGUUUUACUAAUCGUUUACGUAAUCUUAUCGAUAUCCAUCAUUUAUCUGUCAGAGUAGAUGAGAUCUCAAAAUGUACUUUAUAUUUGUACUUAAAAAUCAUGUGAAUCAAGACAGAGGGGCAAAAAAAAGCACCUGAAGUGAGAAUUGUCUCGGCAGAAUAUUCCUUGAUUUUAAGCUUCUUAUGAACAAAUAUACAAAGGGAGUUAGUUGGCAUGCCACUGAUUG